GAUGAACGCUAGCGGCAGGCUUAAUACAUGCAAGUCGUGGGGCAGCAGGUCUGUAGCAAUACAGAUGCUGGCGACCGGCAAACGGGUGCGGAACACGUACACAACCUUCCUUUAAGCGGGGAAUAGCCCAGAGAAAUUUGGAUUAAUACCCCGUAACAUAAUGAAGUGGCAUCACUUUAUUAUUAUAGCUCCGGCGCUUAAAGAUGGGUGUGCGGCUGAUUAGAUAGUUGGCGGGGUAACGGCCCACCAAGUCGACGAUCAGUAACUGGUGUGAGAGCACGACCAGUCGCACGGGCACUGAGACACGGGCCCGACUCCUACGGGAGGCAGCAGUAAGGAAUAUUGGUCAAUGGACGCAAGUCUGAACCAGCCAUGCCGCGUGGAGGAUGAAGGUCCUCUGGAUUGUAAACUUCUUUUAUUUGGGAAGAAAUCUAUCUUUUCUUGGAUAGUUGACGGUACCAGAUGAAUAAGCACCGGCUAACUCCGUGCCAGCAGCCGCCGUAACAC
rnacentral:rRNA from 1 species